CCUUGCCUGGGGCCCCUUUGCAUCCAAACCUUGACACCUGGCAGCAGACACCUGGCCUGGGCCCUCAUUUAGGUCCCUAUCCUAGGAUUGCAAUUAUAAUAUAAUCAAAACGAGGUGGUAUGAUAGGAUUGAGACAUUUGUAAGUUUGUCUUUUUUUUAAAAUUUUUUAUUGUUGGUUGUUCAAAACAUUACAAAUUUCUUGACAUAUCAUAUUCCACACUUUGAUUCAAGUGGGUUAUGAACUCCCACCUUCACCCCAUACACAGAUUGCAGAAUCACAUCAGUUACACAUUCAUUGAUUUACAUAUUGCCAUACUAGUGUCUGUUGUGCUCCGCUGGUAAGUUUGUCUUGUAUGUAAGUCCCAAUGGACUAAUUCUGUUACAUUGUCCCAGUUGAUCCUAAUAGUCACUAUGAGGCUGUCAAAUGCUCUGAGACAUAUUGAAUCUAAAUAUUGACUAAAAUACAAGAAUGAGGGUGUACAUACAAUGGCAUUGCAAUUCCAACUUCCAUCUGUCUGUAUUCAUAAAAAUACAAACUUCCAUCUUGGAAAACAGAGCCUGGUUUUUCCUGAAUCCACCCUGCUUGUACACAUUCCUGUAGAUCAAAAUCCUAUGGAGCUCUCAGAGAUCUGGGUCAAUGUAAUACCAUAGGUUUGCACAUGCAUAUAUUGUAGAGUAAGGGAAAUUAUCCUUAGAGGAUUGGGUUCUAAUUUUAUUUUUUCUAGUUUGUUCCCACAUUAUGUCCUUUUAAAACUUGUCUGGAAGAUGUGGGAAUUGACCUGGGUAUGGUAAUAUGGGCUUUGGUCCUACUAUUAAGGUCAGUAUUGCAGCCUGUUUAGGUAUUAUGCCCUGUAGUAUUUCUUCUGAAUAAUAUGCUUCAUUCAUAAAAAGUACAUAUCUGAAAGAGUUGCAAUUUGCAAUCUUAUGUCUAAUGAGAAGGGAUGAGUCUAUGUUAUUAGUUGGGUCAGGGAGCAUCAGGACAGCUAAGUUGUGGGUAAGAUUAUAAAAGGAAUAAGACACAAGAUUAACUUUUUGUGGAGCAUUUUCAGCAGUGGCAAUCUAUUAUGUUCUAAUAACACUAUAUUAUCUAUAUUUCCUAUAUUCUGGCAAGAUUCUAUAUUAAAAUGGGAGGCAUAAAAAUUAAAAAUGAAUAGAUGGGUUAUUUGACUUUUAAAAGCAUCCCAAAAGGGGUGGUAGUUUAUUUGGGUAUGUUCCCCCCC
rnacentral:lncRNA from 1 species